UCCCGCGUAGCUCAAUGGCAGAGCAUCCGGCUGUUAACCGGUGUGUUGUUGGUUCGAAUCCAACCGCGGGAG
rnacentral:tRNA from 1 species